UACGUAGGGUGCGAGCGUUGUCCGGAAUUACUGGGCGUAAAGAGCUCGUAGGUGGUUUGUCGCGUUGUUCGUGAAAACUCACAGCUUAACUGUGGGCGUGCGGGCGAUACGGGCAGACUGGAGUACUGCAGGGGAGACUGGAAUUCCUGGUGUAGCGGUGGAAUGCGCAGAUAUCAGGAGGAACACCGGUGGGCGAAGGCGGUGGUCUGGGCCGGAACUGACGCUGGAGGAAGCGAAAGCGUGGGGAGCGAACAGG
rnacentral:rRNA from 1 species